UAGACACGCAGGACUUAAAAUCCUGUUCCCGUAAACGGAGUGCGGGUUCGAUUCCCGCUCUGAGUA
rnacentral:tRNA from 1 species